GACGAACGCUGGCGGCGUGCUUAACACAUGCAAGUCGAACGACUUGGCGAACGGGUGAGUAACGCGUAAUCAACCUGCCCUUCCGCGGGGCACACCAGUUGGAAACGACUGCUAAUACCGCAUACUGAAGGAGGGGAUUGCGUCUGAUUAGCUAGUUGGAGGGGUAACGGCCAACCAAGGCGAUGGUCAGUAGCAGGUGCGGGAGGAUGACAGGCGAAAUUGGGACGGUGAAGCGGCCCAGACCCCUACGGGAGGUAGCAGUGGGGAAGAGGCCGAAAUGGAGGAAAGGCUGAGGGGGCAAGGCCGCGUGAGGGGGGUCGGAUGUCGGGUUGGAAAGGUUUGUUAAUAGGGGCGCGGUAGCGGAAUAGAAGGCCACGGCGAACUACGUGCCAGCAGCCGCGGUAAUUC
rnacentral:rRNA from 1 species